rnacentral:rRNA from 1 species
GAUGAACGCUGGCGGCGUGCUUAACACAUGCAAGUCGAACGGUGAAGCAGGAGCUUGCUCUUGUGGAUCAGUGGCGAACGGGUGAGUAACACGUGAGCACCCUGCCCCUGACUCUGGGAUAAGCGCUGGAAACGGCGUCUAAUACUGGAUAUGUGAUGUGACCGCAUGGUCUGCAUCUGGAAAGAAUUUCGGUUGGGGAUGGGCUUGCGGCCUAUCAGCUUGUUGGUGAGGUAAUGGCUAACCAAGCCGUCGACGGGUCGCCGGCCUGCGAGGGGGACCGGCCACACUGGAACAGAGACACGGCCCAGACUCCUACGGGAGGCAGCAGUGGGGAAUUUUGCACGAUGGGCAGAAGCCUGAUGCAGCAUCGCCGCGUGAGGGAUGACGGCCUUCGGGUUGUAAACCUCUUUUAGCAGGGAAGAAGCGAAAGUGACGGUACCUGCAGAAAAAGCACCGGCUAACUACGUGCCAGCCGCCGCAGUAA